ACCAGGAAGCUGGCCUCUUUGUGGGACUGCAGCUGAAACUCCGCCUCCUGGCGAGUCACACAGCCAUGGUACCAGCUGAGACAGAUUGUGGGAGUGAGGGAAGAUUACAGUUCAUCUGCUAUUGAUCAAGUGUAGAACCUCAUUUUAUACAAAAUCCCUGGAAAUUAACCUUAAUGUUACUAAGUUACACUAUGUAUUAAAAAUUCUGGGGUGAGGGGCAGGGAGGGGUCCACACAGCAGGCCUCAGUGUCAGGGCUGCUGCCUGGGGUGGAGGAAGGUGACAGGGUUGGGGGCGAGGAACGCAGGAUCUUCUGGGUCCAGCUUUUCUGCCUCAGAUGCUGGUGCUGAGGCAGUGGCUGCGUUGGUGGAUGCUGGGGCUGCCUGGCAGCUCGUACUCAGUGGAGGGACGAGGGUCCAGCUCUGGCCGUGUGACCGCCGUCUUGUCACUGUCACCACUUCCCUCAUACGGGACGUCAUAGAUCUGUAGGGGCGCGG